rfam:Heterocephalus glaber contig115343, whole genome shotgun sequence.
AUACUUACCUGGCAGGGGAGAUACCAUGAUCACGGAGGUGGUUUUCCCAGGGCGAGGCUUAUCCAUUGCACUCCGGAUGUGCCCCCCCCCCAAAAAAAGAAAAAAAAAAUAACCGGGUAUUUCCUAAGACUUUUGGAAUACUUUAGCAAUAAUGAAUAAAAGGAGAUGACCUUUUGUAAGAGAUUUUGAGGGCUUCUAAGCUCCUCAAA